UCAAUUAAGCAUAAUUCAAGAUCACCAAACUUAAUGUUUUUAACAUUUUAAAACAUUUAUAUUGUUAAAAACAUCGAGUUUACUGGUUUUGAAUUAUGCUUAAUUGAUUUUCCUAGUUAGUUUUUUCAAUUAAAAGGGCUCAAAUGCGCCUUAAAAACCAUCGUUCAAAAGGCUGAACUGUGCCUUUAAAACAGGCAUGCAGAAGCCCACUCGCCAAACAGUGCACAUGGAAUAUAUUUUAUCCCGCUUUAAUAAAGUGCAUUGUUUAUAGUAGAAUUUUAAAAUUUUGCAUGACGUAUACAUCAAAUCAUUUACGUAACUGCCUAUCAUGAAUAUGCAUGCAGGGCUGUGUGAUAUUUUGCACGCGCGUAAAAUAAAUAUCUUGCCAGCUAAAAUAAUCCAAAUUUUAAAAAUUGUAUAAGUUUGUUUUCAACAGUCAUUCGAAGAACAUAUCAUUGUCCAUUGAAACUGAAAUUUGGCAAGGUAAAUAUUUCAUUAUUUUCAAACAACUAUACAAUACAAUAUUUAUUGAACUCGAACGGUCUGUGGCAGCGCAUGGCCAGUGACGACAUCAUAAAGCUGUGGAUUGAGGGGGAUGCCUAAACUUCGAUGUUUCGAGCGAAUGCCCUUCGUCGGGAAGUAUAUGAUACUAUAUAAACGCCAAAGUGGCUUUUCAGAGCCAAUUACUUGAAAAAAAUAUUCUGUAAUAUCCUGAAUAAAGA